CUGGCCAAGGAACUCGGCAAAAUAACCCCGUAACUUCGGAAGAAGGGGUGCUCUCUAGGGUGACAUGUUUAACAUAUGAAGCCCCGGGGAGCCGCAGUGAAUUGGUGGUGGCGACUGUUUACUAAAAACAUAGGUCUGUGCGAAGUCCUAAAGACGACGUAUACGGACUGACGCCUGCCCGGUGCUGGAAGGUUAAAAGGAGGGGUCAGCGCAAGCAAAGCUCCGAAUUGAAGCCCCAGUAAACGGCGGCCGUAACUAUAACGGUCCUAAGGUAGCGAAAUUCCUUGUCGGGUAAGUUCCGACCUGCACGAAUGGCGUAACGAUCUCCACACUGUCUCGGCCAGAGACUCGGUGAAAUUGCAGUCGCGGUGAAAAUUCCGUGUACCCGCAGAAAGACGGAAAGACCCUGUGCACCUUUACUAUAGCUUGACAUUGGAUUUUGGGCCUGCAUGUGUAGGAUAGGUGGGAGGCUGUGAACCCUGUACGCCAGUAUGGGGGGAGCCAUCCUUGAAAUACCACCCUUGCAUGUUUAAGAUCCUAACUUCUUCCGGUUAUCCCGGAGAAAGACAGUGUCUGGCGGGUAGUUUGACUGGGGCGGUCGCCUCCUAAAGUGUAACGGAGGCAUGCAAAGGUUCCCUCAGCCUGAUCGGAAACCAGGCGCUGAGUGCAAACGCAUAAGGGAGCUUGACUGUAAGAGAGACAUCUCGAACAGGAACGAAAGUUGGCGUUAGUGAUCCGGUGGUCCCGAAUGGAAGGGCCAUCGCUCAUUGGAUAAAAGGUACGCCGGGGAUAACAGGCUGAUCGCAUCCAAGAGUUCACAUCGACGAUGCGGUUUGGCACCUCGAUGUCGGCUCAUCACAUCCUGGGGCUGAAGCAGGUCCCAAGGGUACGGCUGUUCGCCGUUUAAAGUGGUACGCGAGCUGGGUUUAAAACGUCGUGAGACAGUUUGGUCCCUAUCUUCUGUGGGCGAAGGAGAAUUGAGAGGGCCUGUCCCUAGUACGAGAGGACCGGGAUGGACGCACCCCUGGUGAUCCUGUUGUCGCGCCAGCGGCAUAGCAGGGUAGCUAUGUGCGGAAGGGAUAACCGCUGAAAGCAUCUAAGCGGGAAGCCUGCCUCAAGAUAAGUUCUCCCCUCGAAAGAGCUGAAGGGCCCGGGUAGACUACCCGGUCGAUAGGCUGGAGGUGUAAGCGCGGCGACGUGCUCAGCUGACCAGUACUAAUAGCCCGAGCGGCUUAUUUUU
rnacentral:rRNA from 1 species